rnacentral:rRNA from 1 species
GGUUGUUGUCUGCUCGUGUCGUGAGAUGUUGGGUUAAGUCCCGCAACGUGCGCAACCCUUGAUCUUAGUUGCCAUCAUUAAGUUGGGCACUCUAAGGUGACUGCCGGUGACAAACCGGAGGAAGGUGGGGAUGACGUCAAAUCAUCAUGCCCCUUAUGACCUGGGCUACACACGUGCUACAAUGGACGGUACAAAGAGCUGCAAGACCGCGAGGUGGAGCUAAUCUCAUAAAACCGUUCUCAGUUCGGAUUGUAGGCUGCAACUCGCCUACAUGAAGCUGGAAUCGCUAGUAAUCGCGGAUCAG